CUCAAGUCUCUCGAAGUCUUCCGCCUGUCUCUGCUUUCCAAGCCCACCGAUCCUCCAGAGCGCAGCACGUGGACGAACACCAACCAGCCGAGAAAACGGGAACGAAGAGGAGAAGCUGUGAUGCGGGAACAUCUGGCGUAAAACUGAGAGCGGCCGGAUGUGGAUCCCUGUGUUGUCCCACAAGUGGCUGGAAUCUCAAGUCUCUCGAAGUCUUCCGCCUGUCUCUGCUUUCCAAGCCCACCGAUCCUCCAGAGCGCAGCA